rnacentral:lncRNA from 1 species
UUUGGGAACACAGUUAACUUGUCUAGGAACACAGUUGUCUAGGAACACAGUUCAGUUGUUUGGGAACACAGUUAACUUGUCUAGGAACACAGUUGUUUAGGAACAUAGUUAAGUUGUCUAGGAACACAGUUAACUUAUUUGUGAACACAGUUAACUUGUCUAGGAAAGCCUGAGAGUCGACUCCAGGUGAACAGGGGUCGACUCGUGCUGUUAAGGGGUCGACUCCAGGUGAGCAAAGGUCAACUCCAGGUCUGUGAACACAGUUAAGUUGUCUAUGAACACAGUUAACUUGUCUAGGAACACAGUUAACUUUAUUUUUAUUUUUAUUUUAUUUU